CGAGAAGACCCUGUCGAGCUUAAGAAAAUUUUUAUAAGAAUUUAAAAAUAGUUAAAAAUACUAAAAACUAAAAUAAAAAUACCUUUGGUUGGGGCAACCACGAAGAAAAAAAAACCUUCGUUCUAAAAAAGAAAUUUACAAAUUAAAUAUUUUUUUAAAAACUAUAAGAUCCAGUACAUUCUGAUCAAAGAAAAAAGUUACCGCAGGGAUAACAGCGUUAUUCUCUUUAAGAGUUCAUAUUGACAAGAGAGUUUGCGACCUCGAUGUUGGACCGGGACACCCAAGAGGUGCAACAGCCUCUAAAGGUAGGUCUGUUCGACCUAUAAAGUCCUACGUGAUCUGAGUUCAGACCGGA
rnacentral:rRNA from 1 species